rnacentral:snRNA from 1 species
GUACUCGCUUCGGCGGUACACAUACUGAAAUUGGAAUGAUACAGAGAAUAUUAGCAUGGCCCCUGCGCAAGGAUGACAUGCAAAAUGGUAAAGCGUUCCACAUUUUU